AGUGUUUGGCAGUAGAACUGCUGGAGAAAAGCUCUGAUGGCGCGCGGUUUUGUUGAGGACGAACCCAAAGGCGCCGAGGGAAGGAAUUGAAGAUCGCGACCUGAGUAGAAUACACUACAGUCUGCCGUGCUCAUCUCAUUGGGCUCCAGUUCCGGCCAUACAGUGUUCCUAUUCGGCCCAACUAGUUCGAUUCUUCCGAAAAAAAUGCAACACAUACUACUUUAAUUUUAAGUUAUUGCAUUGUAUGUCAUUAUAGUCCGUUUAUCGCUGCAUUCGAAGCUCGUUAGCUGGUUUCUAGUAGUCCAUUCGGUAAACAUCUGAUGUGGGCGUCCACGUGAAUCUCACCCGUGUUAGAGAUGGCAAUGGUAACGUUGCUAUAGUUAUUUGUCGGACCCUCAACAAAUCAAACAUUAGAAAAUUUGAGUUGACCGAAAAUAGGGGUACUUUUGUCUUUUCAAAUUUAUUAUCUGGCGGGGUGGUUUGGUCAUUUAAAAAAGAAUUAUUUCGCUUACCAGUAGUUAUCCCUUACCAGAAUGAAUGGAAAACGGCUGUCGUGCAUGGAGAGCUUGAACAUUUAUCCAAUGGAAAGGAUAAUGUCUCCUCCUGCGCUUGACAAAUGACAAACUAGGUUGAGAAAUUGACAAAACUAUGUUGACAAAUGUCGGCUACCCGUGAAAAAAGGGAUUAACCCAAAAAAAAGAUCAUGUUAUAAAUACCUGGAGAAGAGCUAGAGCUGUACUUCAGUAAACAGUAGUAGCAGUCUACCACCAUAUAUAGCUAGAGAAGACCAACCUUAAGUUUGAUUAUGAUGGCUUCCUCUCUGGCUGUGUCUGCCACUAGCCUAGUUGUUACCGCUGCUGUAAUGUCUUCCCAUCAAGGAACACACCCAACUUUUUCCUUGCUAAUAACAAAUCCACAUCGCCACUGAAACCCAUCAUCUCAUGCCAUGCCGGUGUUGGUUCCUUGCGAAGCAAGGCUCAUCAGGAUGGUUCUUUGUUCGGCAAGGCUCAUCGGGAUGGUUCCUUGUUUGGCGGCCAGGGUGCCAUGUUCGGCAAGGCUCAUCAGGAUGGUUCCGUGUUUGUCGGUCAGAGUUCAUUGUUCGGGAAGGCUCAUCAGGAUGGUUCCGUGUUUGUCGGCCAGAGUUCAUUGUUCGGCAAGGCUCAUCAGGAUGGUUCCUUGUUCGGCGGCCAGGGUGCCAUGUUCGGCAAGGCUCAUCAGGAUGGUUCCGUGUUUGUCGGCCAGAGUUCAUUGUUUGGCAAGACUCAUCAAGAUGGUUCCUUGUUCGGCGGCCAGGGUGCCAUGUUCGGCAAGGCUCAUCAGGAUGGUUCCGUGUUUGUCGGCCAGAGUUCAUUGUUUGGCAAGGCUCAUCAAGAUGGUUCCUUGUUCGGCGACCAGGGUGCCAUGUUCUGCAAGGCUCAUCAGGAUGGUUCCGUGUUUGUCGGCCAGAGUUCAUUGUUUGGCAAGGCUCAUCAAGAUGGUUCCUUGUUCGGCGACCAGGGUGCCAUGUUCUGCAAGGCUCAUCAGGAUGGUUCCGUGUUUGUCGGCCAGAGUUCAUUGUUUGGCAAGGCUCAUCAAGAUGGUUCCUUGUUCGGCGGCCAGGAUGCCAGGUUCGGCAAGGCUCAUCAAGAUGUCCAUCAGGAUGGUCAUCAUGAUGGUUCCUUGUUCGGCGGCCAAGGUGCCAUGUUCGGCAAGGCUCAUCAGGAUGCCCAUCAGGAUGGUACCUUGUUUGGAAAGGCUCGUGUCGAAGGCGAUUUAGGCGAUGGUUCCUUGUUCGGCAAAGGUCAAGAUGUCAAGAGGGGUGACAACUUUGUUGCAGC
rnacentral:lncRNA from 1 species